UACGUAGGGGGCUAGCGUUGUCCGGAAUCAUUGGGCGUAAAGCGCGUGUAGGCGGUCCGGCAAGUCCGCUGUGAAAGUCGGGGGCUCAACCCUCGGAUGGCGGUGGAUACUGUCGGGCUUGAGUACGGAAGAGGCGAGUGGAAUUCCUGGUGUAGCGGUGAAAUGCGCAGAUAUCAGGAGGAACACCAAUUGCGAAGGCAGCUCGCUGGGACGUUACUGACGCUGAGACGCGAAAGCGUGGGGAGCAAACAGG
rnacentral:rRNA from 1 species